GCUGGAUGCUUUUAUCUUUGAAAAUUUUGUAUAAAAAGGAACGUAGCUAUAGCUGCAGUUGUUCAUUGGAAGCACGGCAAGAAAGAAUUAUAAUCGGAAUCAUUAUAUGAAUUCUGGAAAGGAUAUCUUUGUGCAAAUGACUCGGGAGUCACUAAUCGCCAUAUCUUACCCUGAACCAGACAAGGAUGUUUCUGUUCUAUCUACACCUGAGAAUGUUAUUAAAGCGGUAAAUGGAGAGAAAUAUGACAAUUACAGGUCUAAGCUCAUCACAAUGUACAACACAAUGUCACCAGACACUAAAGUUGAAUCAGUCACCUGGGAACUCUAGGGCAAAGGCUGCCUUUGCAACAUGUUCUGUUUUACCCUAUCAACACUUUUGUUGUAUCAACCUAAACCCAAAUCAAGUUGACAAGUACUUCAUUAGCCUUUGUAUUUAGUUUUGGUGUAUUCUUUUUCAAGUUUGAACUGCACUACUUAAUGUUACCUCCUCUUUUUCUUUCUUACUCAAGUAUAGACGUUUUUUAGUGUGUUCA